rnacentral:rRNA from 1 species
UACGGGAGGCAGCAGUGGGGAAUAUUGCACAAUGGGCGAAAGCCUGAUGCAGCUAUGCCGCGUGUAUGAAGAAGGCCUUAGGGUUGUAAAGUACUUUUCAUCGGGGAGGAAAAAACAAAACUAAUAAUUUUAUUUCUUGACGUUACCCGAAAAAGAAGCACCGGCUAACUCCGUGCCAGCAGCCGCGGUAAUACGGAGGGUGCUAGCGUUAAUCAGAAUUACUGGGCGUAAAGAGCACGUAGGUGGUUUUUUUAAAGUCAGAUGUGAAAUCCCUGGGCUUAACCUGGAACUGCAUUUUGAAACUGAAAUACUAGAGUAUCGUAGAGGGAGGUAGAAUUCUAGGUGUAGCGGUGAAAUGCGUAGAUAUCUGGAGGAAUACCUGUGGCGAAAGCGGCCUCUAAACGGAAUACUGACACUGAGGGUGCGAAAGCGUGGGGAGCAAACGAGGG